rnacentral:rRNA from 1 species
CAAGCGGUGGAGCAUGUGGUUUAAUUCGAUGCAACGCGAAGAACCUUGCCUGGUCUUGACAUCCACAGAAUCUUGCAGAGAUGCGAGAGUGCCUUCGGGAACUGUGAGACAGGUGCUGCAUGGCUGUCGUCAGCUCGUGUUGUGAAAUGUUGGGUUAAGUCCCGCAACGAGCGCAACCCUUAUCCUUUGUUGCCAUCGGUUAGGCCGGGAACUCAAAGGAGACUGCCGUUGAUAAAGCGGAGGAAGGUGGGGACGACGUCAAGUCAUCAUGGCCCUUACGACCAGGGCUACACACGUGCUACAAUGGCGUAUACAAAGGGAGGCGACCUCGCGAGAGCAAGCGGACCUCAUAAAGUACGUCUAAGUCCGGAUUGGAGUCUGCAACUCGACUCCAUGAAGUCGGAAUCGCUAGUAAUCGUGAAUCAGAAUGUCACGGUGAAUACGUUCCCGGGCCUUGUACACACC